rnacentral:misc_RNA from 1 species
CCAAACUCACUCAAUUUUCAAUAAUCAAAUAAACCCUAAUUUUUUGUCAAACAAACCCAUAUUUUCUUCCUUAUUUGAUUCCAACAAACAACAAGGUAGAGAAAGGAAAGCAAUAAGGCGCAAAUGGAUGGCACCAGGUCUUGAAUUCACGAUGCAACGCCAGGCUUGCCAAAAGCGCACUUAUAUCCCUUAGAUGCAAAGACCCCACCUUGACAUUGCUCAUGGCUUGGUGGAUCUCCGCGGACGUGUGCAAACACAUUUGUGAGACUGACCCCUUGGCAAGCAUGUCGCCAUGCAUGUCAGCAGCUUUUCAAACUUCAUCAAGGGAAAAUCUAGGAGAGAACACUUAACGAAUAGUAACCGAGUUUUGAAUGAAAUUUUGUAGGUAAAACAAUGUUGUAAAAGGCGACGAAAGGCACUGGGCGAGGUGAGGCAAGCCCUUGGUAACUCGCCCGGUGGAGGUGAGGUUGCUAAGAAGAGUAGUCCGCCCCAUACCUGCGAGUUGAAAGGCGUUGGGGCGUUGAGACGCCACCUCAUCAAACUAAUGACAACUUUAAAAAAAAAAUUAUUAAUAGCAUAAAACAAAAAGAAACCCUAAACUAUCCAUUCUUAACGACACUAAUAGAGAGUUGCAAGGAGAAACAAAGCAGAGUCAGCAAUUAGGUAUUUCUUCCUUCCUCUCUCUAUCUCUCAUCUUCACAUUCUUUCUCCUCUCUCUCUUCUACUCUUCUUCUACUUUUUUAUCCUCUCACUUUCACGCUGUGCAACCUGGAAAACCUGCGAUCCAAUGAUUUUUUUUUCUUUUUAAUUUUUCCUUCUUCUGUCUCCUCUUUCUUCUCUUAUUCUGUUUCUGUUCGCGGCUUCACGCUGCUCAACCUACUAGUCCAACACUUUUUUUUUUUGUUAAAUUUGUUAAAUA